UAACUCAGCAGUCAGCAGCAGAACUCAGUACUUGAUGCUGAGACUAUACGACUUGUAAUAGUUUUUUGUUGUGUUGUAUGCUUCUGACUUCUGCGAACGAUGGCUAUUUACAGUAUAUAUAUUCUUUCGAAAAGUGGAGGAUUGAUUUAUCAAUACGAUCACACUUCAAUCAAAGUAGAAGUGGAGAAAACUUUCAGUUAUCCCUUAGAUAUUCAGUUGUCCGAGAAAAACAAACGAAUCGUUGUUGCCUACGGCCUGAAAGAUGGAAUUAAUAUUGGACACAUCCUUUUGGCAGUGAACGGAAAUCAGCUGAAUGGAACAUCACUAGGAGAUGGGCAAAAAGUGACUGCUUUUUUAGCUAAUGAAUCAAACUAUCCUGUCAAUCUGAAAUUUGGAAGGCCAAAGCUCAGUACUAAUGACAAAAUGUUUUUAGCCAGCGAGUUUUACUUGUUUUUAUCUCAUUGCAAGGCAGCUGAGUCCUGUACUGGAGUCAUCUGGAAUUGAAGUUCUUGAAGCUAAUACAUUUAAGCUACAUGGCUUUCAGACCUUAACAGGUAUACAAUUCCUCAUUGUUACUGAACCUAAUCAAAUGAAUGUAGAACAUCUUCUUCGAAGGGUAUAUGAACUUUAUGCUGAUUUUGCAUUAAAGAAUCCAUUUUAUUCCCUUGAAAUGCCAAUAAGAUGUGAAAAGUUUGAGUCCAAUUUAUGACUAGUUCUAGAACAACAAGAGGAAAGUAGUGUUAAUACUGCUUAGUUUUAAUCUUGGUCAAAGAAAUUGUGUGCAUAUUUUGCCAAAAUACUGUGUUUUACUACGUCUACCUGCUGUGGACGGAAUGUGGUUUUUUAAUGUAGUGUAAAUUUUUUUUCAGACUUUUGUAGGUCAUGUCCUUUUUUGAUUGUUUUUUAAUAAAAAACAUCGCAAACAUCCCUUCGGGUACCCUGCUAAAGCAGGUAGCUGACAAUAUCUCAAGUCCAGUCCUUCAAAUAAUGAGUGUUUAGGCAUGUCUAAUAGAUGGCGUGUUAAUUGUGUCAGUUAGGGGCUCAUGGCGGUUUGCUGUCAAAAGUGAAGCUAUCUUUCUUUCGAAAAUUACCAAUGUAUUUACUGGUAAAUUCGAGCGAUUUCAUCUGUAGAUUGUCGGAGAAAACGUGUUGAAAGGGUCGUGCGGCUUACUGCUUCAAAAUCAUUGUUCAAAAUCAAUAUGUGCCAUCAAAAUGAAACAGGAUUCAUCAUAAUUGUCUGCUGUUUGUAUUGGACUUGCUAGAUCGCCAAUCCCAGCCAUUUCCCUAUUUUGAGUGUACACUACUAACUGUUUAAUCAUUUCUAGAUCAUAUAUGUCAAGCACAUUGAUGACAAACUAUGAACAAGGUGACUUAAUGUUUUUUUAUUUACAAGUUCUUCAUUUCAGGUUUCUAACACAUUGGCAUGACAGAUUUGAUGAGCUAAGUCAUAUUUUGAAGGAAAAGGACAAGGACCAUACAGUCAACAAGGUUCCUUGUUUGCUAACCCGUUGGCUGCUACCCUUCCAUCUCCCUGUUUACUUCCUUACACAGGGUUUACAGGGUAACUCUUUUGCUACUGAUCACAUCAACUGUUGUAAACUGACGAGAGGGUGCUGCAAUUCAAGACUGAUACAUUGUGUAGUUGUUAGAUAAAUGACAAGUGCAUAUCUGGGCUCCCUUCUUUUCUGUGGCCCCGUUUCCCUAACUAACCAACGCCCGCCGGUGGUCACUCACCCGCUGUGAAACCAGGAGGAGGAGAGGCUCUGGUCAAACGGGGACUUGGAAGGCUCACAUGAGCCCAUCAGAUCAUGUGAUCUGAUGAAAACUUUUGGAGGGUCAUGAGUCUAACCCAGAAGCCUAGUAUGACUAUAUCUCCCCGGAAAAAUAUGCCUCGUACUUCUCUCUUCUUCUCGGUCCAGAUCAGAUACUAUCUCUGGGGGCCGUAGACAAUUCUCACUAGAUGUGCGAGUUAAAACAAAGCAAUGCGCAGGCGUGUGCGCCACCAAAUGAUACAAAAAGCGAUGAUUGUUGAAUUAGUAAAAUUUGUAAUUUGACUGACGUAGAUUUCCGUAAAAAUAAAUCAUCGCUUUUUUCCCAUUGGAUGGCGAAUUGCUUGCCUUAUUGACUCGUACUAAAUAAGAAAAGAGGAGUUUCGAACCGGACGCU
rnacentral:lncRNA from 1 species